GACAGAGGGUGCAAACGUUGCUCGGAAUUACUGGGCGUAAAGGGCGUGUAGGCGGGAAGGCAAGUCGGGCGUGAAAGCCCCAGGCUCAACCUGGGAACUGCACUCGAAACUGCCUUUCUUGAGUGCCGGAGAGGAAAGCGGAAUUCCUGGUGUAGAGGUGAAAUUCGUAGAUAUCAGGAGGAACACCAGUGGCGAAGGCGGCUUUCUGGACGGUAACUGACGCUGAGACGCGAAAGCGUGGGGAGCGAACGGG
rnacentral:rRNA from 1 species